ensembl:lncRNA
GUGUGCUGGGUUAUACUGGUGUCAGUGGUUUACCAGUAAAGCGAGGCGUGCUGGGCUGUACUGGUGUAAGUGGUGGGUGGCCACAUGGCCUCCACUGUAGAGGAAUCCAUAAAGGGAGGAUGUCUUUGUAUUGACUGCGAGGAUGGAGUCUUCUGGUUCCUCCCCUGCUUAUUAUAGAAUGUAGAAUGUCCCUCUCCCCCUAUAGGGUAGAGUCUGUCGGGGGGGGCUUUAGGGGCUGAAGUCCCCCCCCCCCCCACGGAGGAGACAGAUGGAGGCGUUGUGUGGAAAAUCAGAUCAAGGGAACCAGAACCGUACGCUGGGCCAAAUAGUCCACAGGUGGACGUGUGUGAGCAAGAGGAUUAGAGCGUAUGUGUCAGUGUUAGUGUGUGUGUGUGUGUGUGUGUGUGUGUGUGUGUGUGUAGAUGUCAGUUUAUGUGUGUGUGGGUGUGUUUGGGCUCUGUGUGUUUGUGUUGUGAGGAUGUCAGUGUGUCUGUGUGUGUGUAUCCUUGAGUGAGUGAGUGUAUGUGUGUGUAUGUGUGUGUGUUUGAGGAUGUCAGUGUGUGUCUGUUUUCGUCCUGUCCUCAGUAUUCUCCACCUGCUGUCCAUGAUGCUUUAAGAAUAGAAACCUCCAGUCGAUUCGCUGUGUUUAGGAUGAUGAAGGGGUGAGGGUGAUGAAGGGGUGAGGGUGAUGAGGUGGUGAGGGUGAGAGUGAUGAAGGGGUGAGGGUGAUGAGG